rnacentral:rRNA from 1 species
GACGAACGCUGGCGGCGUGCCUAAUACAUGCAAGUCGAGCGCAGGAAAUCAUCCGAACCCUUCGGGGGGACGUUGAUGGAAUGAGCGGCGGACGGGUGAGUAACACGUAAAGAACCUGCCCUCAGGUCUGGGAUAACCACGAGAAAUCGGGGCUAAUACCGGAUGGGUCAUCGGACCGCAUGGUCCGAGGAUGAAAGGCGCUUCGGCGUCGCCUGGGGAUGGCUUUGCGGUGCAUUAGCUAGUUGGUGGGGUAAAGGCCCACCAAGGCGACGAUGCAUGGCCGACCUGAGAGGGUGAGCGGCCACACUGGGACUGAGACACGGCCCAGACUCCUACGGGAGGCAGCAGUAGGGAAUCUUCCACAAUGGACGAAAGUCUGAUGGAGCAACGCCGCGUGAACGAUGAAGGCCUUCGGGUCGUAAAGUUCUGUUGUAAGGGAAGAACAAGUGCCGCAGGCAAUGGCGGCAACUUGACGGUACCUUGCGAGAAAGCCACGGCUAACUACAUGCCAGCCGCCGCGGUAAAAC